GAAUUGCGAUAUGUAGUGUGAAUUGCAGAAUGCCGCGAACCAUCGAAUCUUUGAACGCAUUGCGCCUGCCUUUAUGGCAGGCAUACUUGUACGAGUGUCGGUUAAAUACCCAAUCCCCUACCCAAAGGGCGCUGGUAUGCCUCCGCUCUGGGAAAGGAGUUGAUGAGCUUGGGCUGGCUUGCGAGCCCUUGUUUUAAACGCAUUUGGCAGCAGCGUGCACAGUAGCCCUGCUCGGCAACGGUUGAGGUUUUCAAUCUCCAUCCAGUAAAGCCGACAGGAAUUACAGCCACUUCAGGCCAACAGAACAUCAGGCAAAGGUCGGCCUAUGUGCCAUUUUUGUCUGCCUGUUAAUUUCCGCACUUUACCCUUCGACCUCGUAUCAAGUAAGGCUACCCGCUGG
rnacentral:misc_RNA from 1 species